AGCGGAGGAAAAGAAAAUAACAAUGAUUCCCUUAGUAACUGCGAGUGAAGGGGGAAAAGCUCAAAUUUUAAAUCUGUUAGGUUAUACCUGACCGAGUUGUAAUUUGAAGAGGCGUUUUCUGAGGGUUUGAUCAGUCCAAGUCCUUUGGGAUAAGGCAUCAUGGAGGGUGAGAAUCCCGUUCGGUUGAUCAGAACUUCUUUACGAUACGUCAUCAAAGAGUCAAGUUGUUUGGGAUUGCAGCUUAAAAUGGGAGGUAAAUUUCUCCUAAGGCUAAAUAACGGCGAGAGACCGAUAGCGAACAAGUACCGUGAGGGAAAGAUGAAAAGAACUUUGAAAAGAGAGUUAAACAGUACGUGAAAUUGUUGAAAGGGAAACGAUUGAAGCCAGUCGUACCGGCGGGUAAUCAGCCUUUUGGGUGUGAUUAUGUGGAGCGUGAGGAGUUAAUCACCCUCAUCUUUGCAUAUUCGUGCACUUUGGGUGUACUUGCUCGUGUGGUAGGUUAACAUCAAUUUUGAUCGUCAUAAAAUGAUUGGAGGAAUGUAGCUUCGAUCUCGUAUUGAAGUGUUAUAGCCUUCGGUAGAUGUGAUGAUUGGGAUUGAGGAUUGCAACGGAUACCCUUCGGGGCUACCUGUCUGAUCUCUGAAAGUUGCUCUGGUGCUGAAAGCUUGCUUAUGGUAUCAAAGUUGACGUUCAACAGGUUAGAACGGGAUAAAUUCGUNAAGGAUGUUGACGUAAUGGCUUUAAACGACCCGUCUUGA
rnacentral:rRNA from 1 species